UACGGGGGGGAGCAAGCGUUGUUCGGAUUUACUGGGCGUAAAGAGCUCGUAGGUGGUUUGUCGCGUUGUCCGUGAAAACUCACAGCUCAACUGUGGGCGUGCGGGCGAUACGGGGCAGACUGGAGUACUGCAGGGGAGACUGGAAUUCCUGGUGUAGCGGUGGAAUGCGCAGAUAUCAGGAGGAACACCGGUGGCGAAGGCGGGUCUCUGGGCAGUAACUGACGCUGAGGAGCGAAAGCGUGGGGAGCGAACAGG
rnacentral:rRNA from 1 species